CAAAAUACUCGCUAAAAACAUAUAAUAUUUUAUAAUUUUGUUGUAUGGACAAUUUGAAUCUUGAUAUAAUUGUUGGAUAGUCUGUGUUGUCGUAGGGCGAUUAAUUGCGCAGUUUCUGUCGACGGAGAUCCGUGUUUGAUGCAGAGUUAAUGCAGAGGAGGGUAUCUUGCUUACCUAUUAAGGCAGUUUCGGUGAUAGGGUUGUCUUCUUCCUCAAAUUCAUAAAACCAUUCUAAAUUAACAGGGCGUAAAUUCGCGGGAGCUUCGCAACCAUCAGGGCUUCUUUCUCUGACGGGGUCGAUAGGGCCUAGCUAGAAUUUAUCACAAUCAGAUAAAGAUUAAAGCGACCAGAGCCAAGGAGGUGAUUGCCACGAAAAGAGGAGCUAUAGAGGUCAAACAGGUUUACAUCUUUAUAGCUGGUAACUGGAAGGACUGCAUAUCUGGCUUAAUUAUCCAGUAGCGCCCAGUUCGGUCAAAGGACGACUUGGUGUCAAGCAGCGAUAACAAGGGAAAAUCGCUGUAGAUUGCGCCUGGGAACGCAAGCUUGGAAGAUGAUAUCGAAUAUACCGGAGGCCACCGGAAGUUGUUUCUUCAAGAAGGAUCAGAGUGGCAUCAACAUCGGGAUCGCAUAACCCCAGGUUGAAUCCAAGAGAGGGCGAUGGCAGUGGCACUUCAAAAGCUGGAUUUGCACUGAAAGCCAUUCCUGUGGCCUUCUCUAUAAAGAAGAGGAGUACAGGAAAUUCAAAUCGGGCUCAAACAAAGGCAGUGGAAAAGUCCGAUAUAAAUUGCGAAACUCAAGAUACUACCACAAAUACAUGCUUGUCCUCUUUUUGUGCAGCUUAUGGUAGUGACUCAAGUGAAUGGAAGAGGCAUAUUUGUGUAUUUGCACAAAGGAAUCACUUUUUUGGCUACAGUCCAUCAAGUGGGGUAUCCUUGUGACCAAGCCCAGCGCCCAACCUGUCUUGUCUUGUUAACUAUUGAAUAAAUUAUGGAUUAAGGUGGCAAUGACAACAACCACAGCCAAAGCCUUGAUUUUUCUUGGGUUAAGGGUUAAGAAAUUUGAUGCUCCUAGUCAUGAAUAUUUCGAUUGUAAUCUUCUGUUGGAGGAAUUCAGUGUUAUCCCACAUUUAAAAUAUGAAAGAGGUUUAUAUUCAAUUAUUUUCUAUUGGAUAAGGGUAAGAUGAAUUUUUAAAAGGGGCCCAAACCUUUUUACAACCAAAAGACGCAGAAACAGCAGAAAUUACAUAAAAAGAACAGCCCAGCUAAGAACUGGGCAAGAGAAAUGCUGACUUCAUCAAAGUUAAAAGAAGACAAGAACCCAAUACCCACACAAGCCAACAAUCCAGAGUGAAUAAGACAGAGUUCAGAGCAACAACUGCAUUCCCCUCCAUGAGAAACUGCAAGUGAUCAGCCACAAAAUCUUGAUCAGACACCUCAAUCUCAAUCACCUUGCAAUUCCUCUGACUUUGGGUUUUAUUUCUUGGGUCAACAUGCGUAGGCCCAUCCUGUGGCCUUCUCCAUAAAGAAGAUGCAGAAAACUCAAAUGGAGCUCAAAAAAAGGCAGUGGAUAAGUCUGAUUUAAAUUGUGAAACUCAUGAUAGUACCCCAAAGACAUGUUUGUCCUCUCUUUGUGCAGCUUAUAGCAGUAACUCAAGUGAAUGAAAUGAGGCAGAUUUUUGUAUUGGUGCAAAGGAAUCACUUUUUGACUAUAGUGCAUAAUGUUCUAAAUUUAUAGAAUUUGAAAAUAUACUCAUUUUCUUGGAUUGUGCAUA